UACGAAGGGGGCGAGCGUUGUUCGGAAUCACUGGGCGUAAAGCGCACGUAGGCGGACUCUUAAGUCGGUGGUGAAAUCCUGGAGCUCAACUCCAGAACUGCCCUUGAUACUGGCGGUCUCGAGUCCGGGAGAGGUGAGUGGAACUGCGAGUGUAGAGGUGAAAUUCGUAGAUAUUCGCAAGAACACCAGUGGCGAAGGCGGCUCACUGGCCCGGUACUGACGCUGAGGUGCGAAAGCUCGGGGAGCGAACGGG
rnacentral:rRNA from 1 species